rnacentral:sRNA from 1 species
GCUGGGUGUGGUGGCACAUACCUGUAAUCCCAGCACCUUGGGAUGCUGAGGCAGGAGGAUUAUAAGUUCAAAGCCAGCCUCAA